AUGAACGCUGGCGGCGUGCCUAAUACAUGCCAGUCGAGCGAACAGACGAGGAGCUUGCUCCUCUGACGUUAGCGGCGGACGGGUGAGUAACACGUGGAAAACCUACCUAUAAGACUGGGAUAACUUCGGGAAACCGGAGCUAAUACCGGAUAACAUGUUGAACCGCAUGGUUUAACAGUGAAAGACGGUCUUGCUGUCACUUAUAGAUGGAUCCGCGCCGCAUUAGCUAGUUGGUAAGGUAACGGCUUACCAAGGCAACGAUGCGUAGCCGACCUGAGAGGGUGAUCGGCCACACUGGAACUGAGACACGGUCCAGACUCCUACGAGAGGCAGCAGUAGGGAAUCUUCCGCAAUGGGCGAAAGCCUGACGGAGCAACGCCGCGUGAGUGAAGAAGGUCUUCGGAUCGUAAAACUCUGUUAUUAGGGAAGAACAAAUGUGUAAGUAACUAUGCACGUCUUGACGGUACCUAAUCAGAAAGCCACGGCUAACUACGUG
rnacentral:rRNA from 1 species